rnacentral:lncRNA from 1 species
AAAGGAUACGAUAUAAUUCAAAAUAUGGAGUAAUAAUGUGAAUUGGGAAUAACAACUGUUUAGCAAUGUUUGAUUGAAAGACGGUAAUAGAAAAGAAGAACUACAACGUAAAAGGACGACAAUGUUUCUUCUCAGUGAUCCAACAGCCGAAAAUGAAAAAAUCUUGUACUCCUCCAUCUUUGGUGUUGAAGCUCAUUAGUAAAUUAGGGCUGUCAUGGAAGGUCUGGGGUGCCCAACGAGAAGGUUUUCUGGAUAAUUAUACUCCUUUCAGUUGUUUUUAAUUUUUAUGAAAUGGUAAAUAAAAUUUAGAAGAGGAAAAAUAUAUGACAGUUCUUACUUGAGCCUGACCCGGAAAAUUGGGAAUCCUAGCUACUGUGAAGCUACGAUUAACUUCUGAAAAAUUGAAGGCAGUGAUUUUGAUUUCGAAAAGAAAAUGAUUUCCUA